rnacentral:lncRNA from 1 species
UUACCAAUUAUUAUGAUCCUACAUGAUACAAAAUAACCAAAUGAAACCAAACACAAUCUGCUUCUUUUAAGAUGUGUGUAAAUAUCAAACAAACAAUUACUUGUGAUAUAUAUGCUUUUGAUCACGGUUGUAAAUUAUCUUUAAAUAAAAAGGAGGAAAAGGAUCUGCAUCAUGGGUUUGGUAUCAGUAGCAAAAUAUUACAAUAAUGCAAAAUAAAUGACAGUACUGAGGAUACUAUCUAUUUUCCUGGUUUGUUUUUGUUAUAGGGGGAAAUAAUCCUAAUGUAAUUUCUUAGUCUAUAUAAUUACGUAUAAAAGUUUAUGAAUUAAAAUAAAAUCAUGUAAAUUUUUUGAUACAUGUAAUAAAUUUUGUAAUCAUUUAGUGACUAUUCUUUGUUUAAUAUAUAAACUUAAGGCUUUCUAGUCCUUACUUAACUUAUAAAUAAAUAAUAGAAUUCCAUAAAAAAAAGAAUCCUCAGUUUGUCUCAACUUUUAAAAAUGACAUCCAAAAACAAUACAAUUCUUAUACAAAGUAAAACUGUGGUAAAAGCUAUAAUAUAAAAAUAUUAAAACAUGCAUGUACAAAUUAUUUUUUGAGAAUUACUCAACUUAUUUACUGGGUAAUUAAAACAAACUAAAUAUCUUGAUUGGUGCAAAAAUGAUUAGAUUACCAAUGAAAUAGCAGAGGUGGAGAAAAUUUGGUUGAUUAUUUAGGAAAUCACUGAAGUACCACUGGAGGAGGCCCUUUAACAAUCAGUGAGCACCCCCCUUUUAUUUCCCUGUAUGAAAAUUUCUGGAUCCUCCAGUGAACAGAUUACAUUUCAUUCAUUCACAAUUUUAACCUCAAGCUGUUUUAAACUAUAUUAUAAGUUAUCUACGUUCAUAUCCGUAGAUAUGGAUAUUUUAACACCCUGAAGUACCCCAGUACACCAUGAGGCGU